rnacentral:rRNA from 1 species
UACAGAGGUCCCAAGCGUUGCUCGGAUUCACUGGGCGUAAAGGGUGCGUAGGUGGCCAGGUAAGUUCGGUGUGAAAGCUCGGAGCUUAACUCCGAAAUGGCAUUGAAUACUAUCUGGCUAGAGGGUCGGAGGGGAGACUGGAAUUCUCGGUGUAGCAGUGAAAUGCGUAGAUAUCGAGAGGAACACCUGCGGCGAAGGCGGGUUGCUGGGCUGACACUGACGCUGAGGCGCGAAAGCUAGGGGAGCGAACGGG